rnacentral:lncRNA from 1 species
CAUCACCCUAAUUAUAAACCUAUUUUGGUUGACUAUAUUCUAGACGUAGGAUUCUAUUCUUCUCGAAAGGGGAGCAAUAUGAUAUCUAGCAUGGGUAGUUUUUUUUUUUUUGAUGAAAAUGGAAAGUGAUACCACCUAAAUUUUAUUCAAAGUGAGAGAGGUUACAUUAGCUGGUAAUGGAUUUGGUUGACCUAGGUCAACCAAUGAUGAAGAGAAUGUAAAACUUUCUUAUGGGGG